rnacentral:tRNA from 2 species
GGGGCUGUGGCGCAGAGGGAGCGCGAUUCCUUCGCAAGGAAUAGGCCGGGGGUUCGAAUCCCCCCAGCUCCA